CAUUUGCUUUCUCCAUUCAUUCUGCUGUAACGCUCCCUAGUUCUUUAACAUUCCAUUGAGUACAUUUACUAGACAGGUGAAUAUCUAUACAGGUAAGGCCAGUAAAGUGGAUGCAAGGCAGAUAACCUAUGUCAACCUAAGUCACCUAGACCCAGUUUUUUU